AGUGAACGCUGGCGGUAGGCCUAACACAUGCAAGUCGAACGGCAGCACAGUAAGAGUUUGCUCUUACGGGUGGCGAGUGGCGGACGGGUGAGGAAUACAUCGGAAUCUACUUUUUCGUGGGGGUUAACGUUGGGAAACCUACGCUAAUACCGCAUACGCCCUACGGGUGAAAGCAGGGGAUCUUCGGACCUUGCGCGAUUGAAUGAGCCGAUGUCGGAUUAGCUAGUUGGCGGGGUAAAGGCCCACCACGGCGCCGAUCCGUAGCUGGUCUGAGAGGAUGAUCAGCCACACUGGAGCUGAGACACGGUCCAGACUCCUACGGGAGGCAGCAGUGGGGAAUAUUGGACAAUGGGCGCAAGCCUGGUCCAGCCAUACCGCGUGGGUGAAGAAGGCCUUCGGGUUGUAAAGCCCUUUUGUUGGGAAAGAAAAGCAGCAGGUUAAUACCCCGCUGUUCUGACGGUACCCAAUGAAUAAGCACCGGCUAACUUCGUG
rnacentral:rRNA from 1 species